rnacentral:lncRNA from 1 species
GGUAAUUUAAGCUGUUUGUAUUACUAUAAUGUAUUAACAGUUUCCGUUUUUGCUGGGUUUUUUUUUACCAUUUCUUCAACCUGGAUAUUCAUUCAAAACAUUUUUUCUUCUAGCAUUUGGUUUUAGUAGUGAAAAUUAGUAUACCAUAAUAAUUACUGCUGUCAAGUUGUGGGGAACAAUGACAGACAAGACAAAUUAUAACAUUAUGGAU